GCGUCGAUAGCUCAGUGGACAGAGCACCGGCAUCCGAGGCCGGCGGCCGGAGGUUCGACUCCUUCUCGACGCGCCA
rnacentral:tRNA from 1 species